UCUUCAUUUCGCACACUCUCUCACUGGUCAGAGUUACGAGAGCGUGUGGGAAAUGAAGAGA
rnacentral:pre_miRNA from 1 species